rnacentral:rRNA from 1 species
GACGAACGCUGGCGGCGUGCUUAACACAUGCAAGUCGAACGGACAGGCCCUGCUUUUGCGGGGUGCUCGAGUGGCGAACGGGUGAGUAACACGUGAGUAACCUGCCCUUGACUUUGGGAUAACUUCAGGAAACUGGGGCUAAUAUAGGAUAGGAGCUCCUGCUGCAUGGUGGGGGUUGGAAAGAUUCGGCGGUUGGGGCUGGAUUCGCAGCUUAUCAGCUUGUUGGUGAGGUAGUGGCUUACCAAGGCUUUGAAGGGUAGCCGGCCUGGGAGGGUGACCGGGCACCAUGGGACUGAGAGACGGCGCAGACGCCUACGGUAGGCAGCGGUGGGGAGUCUGACACAAUGGGGGGAAGCCUGAUGCAGCAGCGCCGCGUGCGGGAUGACGUCUUUCGGGUUGUAAACCGCUGUCGCCUGUGACGAAGCGGGAGUGACGGUAAUGGGUAAAGAAGCACCGGCUAACUACGUG